GACUGCGGAGAUCAUUAAAAAAUAAUCACUGUAUUGUGAUUUUAAUAAUCAUCCUACCCUUUGUGAAUUUGUUUUGUAAAGAAAAUUUAUGUUGUCUAUCCCUGGUGGUUUUUGGAAAAGUUGAAAAACUUUUUCGAAUCCUCAGGGACUAGGCUUUCAUAGACCUUUUUUUUAAAUUAAACUUUUUGUAUUCAUUUGUCUAAAAUUUAUUUUUAAUAAUUUAAAAACAACUUUUGACAAUGGAUCUCUUGGUUCUCGCAACGAUGAAGAACGCAGCAAAAUGCGAUAAGUAAUGUGAAUUGCAGAAUACGUGAAUCAUCAAAUCUUCGAACGCAUAUUGCACUUUUCUAGUUUACUAGAAAAGUAUGUCUGUUUGAGUAUCAGUAAAAUAUUCUCAUAAAAAACAUUGUUUUUUAUGGUUAUGAGUGUUUUACAACGAUAAACAAGUUGUUUCACUUUAAAUUGAUUUUUAAAAGCCAAUUUGGUUUUAUCUAAUAAAAUUGGAUAAAAUUUUCCCGUAAAAAGGAAUAAACUUUUCAGUUUUAAAAGGUAAAACUUUAGUUGAGCCUAAUAAAAGGAAAUUUAACAAAAUAACUUGAUCUCAAAUCAGAUAAGAGUACCCGCUGAACUUAAGCAUAUCAAUAAGCGGAGGA
rnacentral:rRNA from 1 species